rnacentral:lncRNA from 1 species
AUUUAAGUUGGAGGAUUUGGUAUAUGACUUGUUUGAUACACUUACCUGUACAAAUAGGAUCACCGACGUUGGCAUGGAGUGAGAUCUCUUGAUUGUUUAUGACUCGUUUUCUUCUAGAAAGUGUUGGAGAUGGUUUAAAUUAUGACUAUGAGGGAUUUAAACAAACUGAGGUUAUGUCGAUUUCAAAGAACAAAACUCGUUUUGCAGAACUUUCAAGGCACAACAAAUAUUAGUAUCACAAGAGAGAUAGUUCUAUUAGACAAAUUUUUUUACAUAGUGUAGAGUCGUAGAUUAGAUUAUGGGGCAUAUAGAUAAUUCACUUUUCCUUAGAAUAAUUUUGACUCUAAAGGUUGAUUUCAAUCUGAAUUUUUAUAUUUUUUCAAAGAGGAUAAAAUAUACUUUCAAUGUGGUCGAGUAUGCAAUAACAGGAGGGGUCGUCCUUGGCAGCUACGACACAAUUAUUAUCUAGUCAUGAAUUAAUACUAGUAGCUUUAGUAUAGAUUAUGACAGGAUGUUGUGUAUGAAUUGGAUGUUCUUCCAUCAUAUCACCUUAGUCUAUUAUAACAAGGGAGUGAGAAUUGAGAUAUUGGGUAAUCGCUUUUAUCCUUUGCGAGUAGAACGUGAUUUUGUACCAUAUAAUUUAACCUCUUGUUUAGGAUCUAACAAUGUAUUUAAAAAGGGAGUUAUUAUGGAUAAUUAUUCUUGAUUAUGGAAAUACAAGUGAGUGAAGAAAAAACAUUAAAUAGUUCCAAAAACGUGAGUUUCCUAAUGUUUUUCCAGAAGAAUUUCUUAGAUUGCCUCAUGAUAAGAAUAUUAAGAUCUCUAUAAACUUGGUUCCUAACACUCAAUGACAUCCAUACCUCUUAAUCAAAUAGUUAGCAUAACUUUAAGUGUAAGGGAGAAGCUAUAUGAUUUUCUCAAUAAGAUAUUUAUUAGUCCAACUUCUUUUCCUUGGGAAGCUGUGAUAUUGUUUAUAGGGAAGAAAGAUGAACCGUACCCAUGUGAUAUUGUGUGGUAGAGAAUCGAAUAGUAGGGUAGUAACGAGUGAAUAUUGUUCACUUUGAAUUGACGAGUUGUUUGAUAACUUCAAGAAGCUAAGUGUUUUGUCUAGGAAUGAUUUGCGGUCUAGGCAUCACCAAUUAAAGGUUGAGAGGGGUCUUAUUUCAAUGAAAACUCUUUGCACAUACNNNNNNNNNNNNNNNNNNNNNNNNNNNNCAAAUCAAGAUUGUACUGAAGACCUACUAGGAUUGAAAAACUUCUUUUCAAGUCUCAAAAUUCUACCUUUUCUUAUGAGUCACCAAAAUAAAAUAAAAUAAAAAUUACUUAUAUGUGAAAUUCCUAAGCAAUAGAAACAGACAGAAAACCACCUAUUAACUCUACAUUGGUUAGUAGCUUCUAGGCUAUUGACAUAUUUAUCAGUAAAAAUUUAGGCCUUGAUAAGGAUAUUAUUAAACUUGAAAUUUAAUAUUCCUUGAUUUAGGAAUACAUUUGGAUUGAGUAUAUCCAGACUUGGUUGGUAGACUAUUAAGAUGUAAAUUAAAUAUGAAGUAGGUGGUUUAUAUAACAUAAAUACUAGUUAUAAUAGAAUGAUGCCCUGUGAUAGUCAUUCAAGGUGAUUAACUUCUGGAAUAAAUGAAACAAGUAUUUUUUAUUUUUUUUUAUUUAUAAGCUCUUGAAGACUAAUUUUUUAAACCUCCCAAUAUUUCUUACUAUAUGUUUCUUGGGUUAUUAGAUCACGAGUUGAUAAAUUGAAAUAGUAGAGAGUAAAUUAGGUGAGUAAAUUAGGUCAUAAACUACUUACCAAACAAAUCAGAGUUGCGCAGCG